AUAGUCGAGUAGCAUAGUAGAUCUGUCUAGCUAGGUGCCAUCGUUAAUUUCUUUUCAACAAGAAAUUGUUUUUAUUUUUCCACCUUUACAGAUAUCAGUAAAAUUCACAUGAAGAUUCUUGACUUCAAUAAGCUCUUCAUAUUCAAAUUAUUAAUAAAUUUUACUGAUCACAACAAAAUCCUUCUUUAACUCCUGGCUCUGCAAAACUCCAAUUGCAUCACAGUCUAAUUUUCUAAUGAAGUUAUAGAACGAAGCCUUACGGAAUGAGGCCUUAACGACUGUACAAGGAUCUUGUCUCAAACAAGGAGCCUUAACGACUGGCGGAGGUUGAAAGAAUGGAGCCUCAACGACUCAGAUUGGAAGCAGAGUGGGUAGACUCUGUCUUCACUUUCUCUUGUGGCUCCUCACGGCUCAUAAGCAUCAGAAAAGGGAGGAGGAGGAGCACAACCACCAGAGACCCUCGUAAGAAAGCCCCCGAGUACUCAAUUUUGGUGCCAACCCGAGGGCGAGCCUGGACCAACUAGACUAUAUAAAAGUGAAAACGCACGUUUACCGUCACUUGCAGACCAAGACCCCAGACUCCAGACAACGCUGGAUCCAGAAGUGGUGAAAUACAUCUACCUCUAAAUCUAUCUCCCUUUCUCUUCUUCAUUCUCGAUCUUCUUUUACUUCAUCAUCUUCUGCAGCUGUUGCCUAAAUUUGCCUUAAAUUCUUUGAUAAAGAAAUAACAACUAUGCUAAGUAACCCUUAUCCUUUAUGCUUACUAAUUGUUGUUAGAAAGUUCUUUAAUUUUGCCUUGAAGUAGCUGGCUAGCUGUUGUUAAGAAAGCUCAAUAAAUUGUUCUGUAUUGUUCCUCUGGGUCAUUUUCUGACCCCUGGAGGGCAGUGGGUGCCCUAUAUACUCGGAUUCCAGAGGUUCACCUUUCUUACAACUCACUGAGUUGGACAAGACUGCUUGUGUGAACGUUAACCCUUAUGGUUUUUUUUUUUUUUGAAUAACUGUAAUUUCUGCGGGGUUCUGUUAAUUGUUCUUAGUUUAAUACUUGUUUUGUAACACUGGAAAAUAAACUGUUUUCGC
rnacentral:lncRNA from 7 species